rnacentral:piRNA from 1 species
UAGACUCAAAGUCCUCAUUGAGCA